CACAGCUCCAGGGGACGCCGUU
rnacentral:miRNA from 1 species